rnacentral:lncRNA from 1 species
CAAGUUGGUCAACACAAUUUUCAUACGAUGAUGCACUUUCAUUCAACACAAUAGCUUUAACACUAGGUGGACACAAAUUGAUCUUACUAGAAGAGUCAAUUCGGUCAUCUAUAGGAUCAACUAGCGUAUCCACUCGCUCAACAUGUACAUCAUUCACAAGUGGUAAGGAAUCAAUAUACUCAUAUGUAGGUAAGCUACUACUCACACUCAACGGUGUAUUAGUCACAC